UACAGAGGUGCCGAGCGUUAGGCGGAAUCACUGGGCUUAAAGCGUGUGUAGGCGGAUGCCUAAGUACCUUGUGAAAUCCCACAGCUCAACUGUGGAACUGCUUGGUAUACUGGGUGUCUUGAGCCACUUAGGGGCUACCGGAACAAAUGGUGGAGCGGUGAAAUGCGUAGAUAUCGGGGGGAACACCGGUGGCGAAGGCGGUUCUCUGGGCCUGUACUGACGCUGAGGAGCGAAAGCGUGGGGAGCGAACAGG
rnacentral:rRNA from 1 species